CGUCUCCCGGGUAUGGGGCGGACGAGUCCCCGCUAAACUACUACGGCGAAUUUUUCACCGGCGUACGUUUUAAUAUCAAACCCGGGCAAAACACUUAAUUGUAGGUGGUUUUUUUUUUUUUUUUUUUGCCGCUUACACAAAAAGUUAUACUGCGCGUAUCACUUGUACUCACAACACGAACGAGCGAGCCUAGCAGAUAAUAAGAGAUCGGCCCAGAUCGCAGACCGUACGCUAUGCCCACCUUUUCCCGCCCGUUUUUACGUUUGGAAUGGAAUUCUUGUGAAACGAUCGCGCAAUAAUAUCGCGUAGUAGUCGCGUGCGCAGCGAAACAAUAAUAACCGUUCCGCAGAAAUCCCGAGGUCAAACGCGAAAACCGCGGGAAAUGUUUGGACGAAAAACGACUGCCGCUCGCGACUUGUUAUACAGGACCUUAUAUAGGACCCGCAGCAGGGUUCGCAGGGAUUUAACAAAUUGACAAAUCGCAUCGGCUGGGGGAUUUU